AGCGAACGCUGGCGGCAGGCUUAACACAUGCAAGUCGAGCGGGCACUUUCGGGUGUCAGCGGCGGACGGGUGAGUAACGCGUGGGAACGUGCCCUCUGGUUCAGAAUAACUCAGGGAAACUUGAGCUAAUACCGGAUACGCCCUUUUGGGGAAAGGCUUGCUGCCGGAGGAUCGGCCCGCGUCUGAUUAGCUAGUUGGUGAGGUAACGGCUCACCAAGGCGACGAUUAGUAGCUGGUCUGAGAGGAUGAUCAGCCACACUGGGACUGAGACACGGCCCAGACUCCUACGGGAGGCAGCAGUGGGGAAUAUUGGACAAUGGGCGCAAGCCUGAUCCAGCCAUGCCGCGUGAGUGAUGAAGGCCUUAGGGUUGUAAAGCUCUUUUAUCCGGGACGAUAAUGACGGUACCGGAGGAAUAAGCCCCGGCUAACUUCGU
rnacentral:rRNA from 1 species